rnacentral:rRNA from 1 species
CCUACGGGAGGCAGCAGUGGGGAAUAUUGGACAAUGGGCGAAAGCCCGAUCCAGCCAUGCCGCGUGUGUGAAGAAGGCCUUCGGGUUGUAAAGCACUUUCAGUGGGGAAGAAAGCCUUGGGGCUAAUACCCUCGAGGAAGGACAUCACCCACAGAAGAAGCACCGGCUAACUCCGUGCCAGCAGCCGCGGUAAUACGGAGGGUGCGAGCGUUAAUCGGAAUUACUGGGCGUAAAGCGCGCGUAGGCGGUCUGAUAAGCCGGUUGUGAAAGCCCCGGGCUCAACCUGGGAACGGCAUCCGGAACUGUCAGGCUAGAGUGCAGGAGAGGAAGGUAGAAUUCCCGGUGUAGCGGUGAAAUGCGUAGAGAUCGGGAGGAAUACCAGUGGCGAAGGCGGCCUUCUGGACUGACACUGACGCUGAGGUGCGAAAGCGUGGGUAGCAAACAGGAUUAGAUACCCGGGUAGUC